GACGAACGCUGGCGGCGUGCCUAAUACAUGCAAGUUGAGCGCUGAAGGUUGGUACUUGUACCCACUGGAUGAGCAGCGAACGGGUGAGAACGCGUGGGGAAUCUGCCUUUGAGCGGGGGACAACAUUUGGAAACGAAUGCUAAUACCGCAUAAAAACUUUAAACACAAGUUUUAAGUUUGAAAGAUGCAAUUGCAUCACUCAAAGAUGAUCCCGCGUUGUAUUAGCUAGUUGGUGAGGUAAAGGCUCACCAAGGCGAUGAUACAUAGCCGACCUGAGAGGGUGAUCGGCCACAUUGGGACUGAGACACGGCCCAAACUCCUACGGGAGGCAGCAGUAGGGAAUCUUCGGCAAUAGACGAAAGUCUGACCGAGCAACGCCGCGUGAGUGAAGAAGGUUUUCGGAUCGUAAAACUCUGUUGGUAGAGAAGAACGUUGGUGAGAGUGGAAAGCUCAUCAAGUGACGGUAACUACCCAGAAAGGGACGGCUAACUACGUG
rnacentral:rRNA from 1 species